rnacentral:lncRNA from 1 species
AGGGACUGUUCUUACCUGGGACUUUGAAAAGCAUUCAGCCAAUCGGGUCCACAGGCAGCAGAACCCGUUCCCAAUUGGCUCCUCCCCAGACAGGAAGUCCCGCCCUCCCCCGGAAACGAUGGAGGCUGGACUCGGAGGAAGGCCGGAGCGGUGGGGACUGGAGAAUGGCUCAAGCUGGACUCAGGAGCUCGCCUCGUUUGCCUUCCCGUUGUAAUUACUGCUCAAGAGGGAGACUAAGUUGCUUACUUCUAGCUCCCAGGCUGCUCGGGGGUGGCUGUUGUUAGAGUUCCCCUGAGAUGGUGAUUCUUCUGGGUCAGUCCGAAGAGACAGCCUGCAACAAUGGCAGUCCCCAGGGUGACACUCUCGAGGGGGCCUAGAUUCAGCUGUCAGUCACCUUCAGCCCAGAGCCAUCAAAUCCAUUUACACAAAAGCUGGUUAUCACAAACCUUUUGAAAAGCUAAGUAAAGAGGAGAUUUACCCAUCCUUGAAUCUUCCUUCUUUUUUUUUUUUUUUUUUCUUUGAUUCCCUCAUUUCUCUUAUCUUUCCUUUUUUUUUCCUAACCACCUCUGGGAACUUCUGGGAUUUUUUCCCUUCUUUUGUUCCACCCUAGAGCUUACACUAUUGUUAUCAUAAAGCUUGAGC